ensembl:lncRNA
AUUCUCAUAAGCAGUACGUCUUUUUUAAGUGAGACCACAGUUCAGGGACGAUGUUCAGGUGGCAGUCUAGGUUGGGAGAGGGAGGAGGGGUGAGAGAACCUCAGUAGCUGCCAAUCGCUACCGUCCACUGCUGCGCUCUCAUCUUGGGCAGCGGUAUUUACGGUAAAGGAGGGGGCGGGCUGGGGAAUGAGUGGGAGAAUAAAGGGGGGGGGGGGGACCGACGGCGCUGUCCUCUCUCCCUUGGUGUCAGGUGAUCUGGAGCUAGGAGCCGAGCCCAGCCGAGCGGUAUAGCUGCCGCUGCUGCCGCUGCGGGAGGAAAAUGCAAAAUGGCAUAUUGGGGAUGUAAGGGAUUCUGCCACUCGCUUGCUCGGCCCAGACCUACUGCAUCCUCUCUCCGCAGUUCGCGGGCAGCCAUGCGGCUGUAGGUCCCUGCCGGGCUGCCCCCUGGAUACCUCAGCUAAAGGGGUCGUGAUUCGGCAGCACUUGCUGCCAGAGCAGGGGGGUGGGGGUGGGGGGAGCGGCGAGGGAAGGUGUUUCCUCUCGGCUCCCCCCCACCCCGACCCCCCCUCCCCUGCCUCUUCUUCUUCCUCCUCCUCCUCCUCUUCCCCCUCCCCCUCUCCUGCCUCCUCUCCCUCCCCUUCCUUCUCCUCCUCUACCUCCUCCUCCUCCUCUGGUUCCCCACACCCCGUUCCUCAGUGAAACAUGGGACUGUGCUACAGUCUGCGGCCACGGCUCUUCGGGGAUCCCAGCGGCUCCACUUCCAACGCUACGACCUCGGAAUCGGAGCCGCCGCCACCACAGCAGCAGCAGCAGCAGCAGCAGCAACAGCUGCCCCAACAGCAGCCGGACCGCACCGCCCUCCCGACGCUGAGCUCGGGAGAUCUUCGCCGCUCCGGGGACCUGCGGGCAGCGGCUGCAACCAGGGCUGGGGGUGGAGAAGGCGGCAGUGGUAGCAGCGGCAGUGGAGGCUGCGUGGGGGAGGCGGCGGUGUCAACAACUACCGCGGGGUCUCUCCGCAGCAGGGACGUCUCCGGCAAGCAGCUGUGCGCCGGAGACGGAGACGGAGCGCUAGUCCUGCAGAACGGUGGCGGUGGAGGCAGCAGCCCUGGGAAUGGAGCGGCGGAGCGACAGCAGAAGCCGCAGCAGCAGCCCAAGCAGCAGCAGCAGCAGCAAACGAAGCAACAGCAAACGAAGCAGCAGCAAACGAAGCAGCAGCAAACGAAGCAGCAGCAAACGAAGCAGCAGCAGCAGCAGCAACAACAGCAGAAACAGCAGAAACAGCAACAGCAGAAGCAUGGCAAGCAAAAGCAGCAGCCGCUCAAGCAGCACUGGGACAAGCUGCGCGUGGAGGAACGCGAGGCCGAGAGGGAGGCGAAGAAAGUGAGCAAAAGCAUCGACCGGGCGCUCAAGGAGCAGAAGAGGGAGUAUAAACAGACUCACCGACUUCUCCUUCUGGCAGGAUGUCACCACAUGGAGGUGGGAAAAGCAAAAGUAUCUUCCUUCUCAUCAUGGAAAACUACUUACAAAAUACACUUGGAAAAGACUGGAAAGCAUUUUCUCUUAUUUUCUAUCUCAUACAAAGCCUUAACCAAAGCCUUAUUGAAACAUACUAAUGGAGCAGAAAAAUCCAUUUAAAGUAAUUUAGGACUGAUGCAUGGCUUCAUAACUUACCUAAUGGCUCUUUUUUAGAUUUUAUUAUUGUUUCAGAGAAUGUUUAUUUUGUAUAGAUCAAUAAAUGCUAUCUGUAUUUUUUAAAAACCCUUAUC